rnacentral:lncRNA from 1 species
UCGGCGGGGAGAGCGGUGCUGGGAGUCGUGGGGAAGUGGAGGAGCCUGAAGAUGUGGAGCUGAAAGCUCAGCUUUCUGCUGCUGUUCCUUUCUCCUGGCUGCUCCCUGUAGCCCAGCAGCCAGAGCACCUCCAUCCCUACUGAGGAUGCCAGUUUCAGUGAAUGAUGUGCCCUGUGCCAACUUUGAAGCCAACAUAUUUGCAAGGAGCCUGUGCCAACACUGCUUCCGUGCCUCAAGGGUUCACCCACAUGCUGUCCAGGAGCAUGACGCAGAGGUGGCGGGGCAAGGCACCAACGCAGACCCAGGUGGGCCCUGGGAUGCCGUCCGCAUCGUAGCACCACAGUGCGAGGUGUACGUCUGCGUGGGUCGGGCAGACGGCGCGGAGCGCUGGCACCAAAGCAGGGCACAGCCCCCACUCAGCCCCAGCACUGUGGGCCAGCAUGGAGAAACCAGCACCGAGCCCCACAGCCACACUGAAGGCAGGGGCUGGGAGAUGACCAGGCUAUUGGAUACCACUUUGGGAUCAGGCAAGCGGGACACAAUGAGCUACAGGGGCCACAAGGAUAAUGCAAAGCUGCAGGUGGACAGAGCCAGGUGGGGUCAGCCCCUUCCUUCUGGAUCCUGGGUGAGGACAGAGGCUCCGAGCUUUAGGAAAGAAGUCUGUGUGCCAAAAGCAGAGCGUGCUCCUGCCAGCCAUAAGCCCAAGGAGGGCUGGGCAAAGCAUCGCAUAGAGAGUGGCUAUUUCUCCUUGGAACCUCGAAAACCUGACCCUUCCUGGGCUUCCUCUGUACCACGUCCCGGCCGCAGCUCCUCUCCUGGUCCAGGCAGCAGCAGGCAUUUGGCAUCCUCUCCCAGGGCUGGGGAGCCACGUGGGCAUCCCAGUGCUGGGGGCACAGAGGGGAAGCGUGUGCUGGAGAGGCAGGAGUACACGGUGCUGGCAGACCUGCCCAAACCCAAGCGCCUUGGCCGUGGGGAUGCUGCUGACCGCUGUGGCUCCCGCACGCUCAGCCCUGGCCGAGUGGAGGUGGAGAGGAUAUUUGGUUGUGAGCGCAGGAAAUCUGAGACGUUGGAGGCUUUCCAGGCACUGGAGGAGGGCCGUGUGGAGCGGCUGGAUGGCAAGACCCCAGUGCCACCCAGCAAAGGCAGAGUCAUUCGGAGGCAGUCCAGCCCCAGCCUGCCCAGGGAGGGUCAGCGGCUCUCCUGGCACCCUGAGCCACGCAGCAGAGAUUCCAAGGAGCCCCGGCGCUCCCCCAGCCCGGCUCGGCAAACAGAGAGGGCUGGGGUCCCCCUGCGCCCCAUGUGCCCAUCUCCACGGGUGGAGAGAGACUGGAGGAAGCCCCAGGAGCCCACAAGUCCUACUCAACGGCUGGAGAGGGGAGGCAGCAGCCCGCGUUCCCCCAGCCCACGUUCCCCCAGCCCGCGCUCCCCCAGCCCACGCUCCCCCCCCCCAGCUCCUAGGUUGGAACGGAGGCCAGGAGGAGCUCAGAGCCCUUCCCAGCACACAGAGAAGGACUGGAGGAACAGAGGAGAGAGGAGCCAAGUUGCCUGGCAGGUUGCAAGCAUGGGGAAAACCGCCGAGAGAAAAAGCUGGGGGAACACCCUGCACCCCCCGAGCCUUGGGAAGAGCAUGGAUGGAGGCAAGCUGGGAGGAGCCUGGCAACCACGCUCCAUGAGUCCUACAGGACGGACAGACGGCACAUGGAAAAGCCAAAAGAUCUCUCAGCCUGGCCUUGCACAGGGGGCAGAGAGACAACGGGGGAACCCAUCCGGGAAGCAGCUGGAGUGCAGCUGGAGGAGCCUCCGGGAUAAACUGCAGCCUCCCCAUGCUGGGAAGUGCACAGACAAUGAGUGGAAAGGUCGAGGGAAGCCCUUGCGUCCCAUGAGCCCAACGCGGCCACCAGAGCAAAAAAAAGCAGGAAUGGAAGGGCCAUGGGGAUGCCCGCCAGGCUCAGAAGGCAGAGAAAGACUGGAGGGCGCAGGAGAAAACACCGUGCCACAUGGACUUGAUGCAGCAGCUGGAAAGGGACUGGAGGAGCCCUGCUAGGUAUGCAGAUGUCUGGCCACGGCCGGAUGACAGCUGGAGGAGGCCUGAGAGCCCAGCACAGAAACUGGAGGAUGAUUGGAAGGGGGCUGAGCACAGCCACGACUCAAACAACCCAGAGAAACCAUUGGAAAGCGAUUGGGAGAACAAGAAAUUCCUUGUAUAUCACGUGAGUAUAGAAUCACUGCAACUACUGCUCACUAAUCGUGUCCCUCAGUGCCACAUCCACAUGGUUCUGGAACACCUCCAGGGACGGUGACUGCACCACCUCCCUGGGCAGCCUGUGCCACUGCAGUACUGCCUCAUAUCCAACCUGAACCUCCCCUGGGGGAACUUGAGGCCAUUCCCUUUCACCCUAUCGCUGUUAGCUGGGAGAACAGGUCAAACCCCACCUCACCACAACCUCCCUUCAGGUUGUUGUAAAGAGAGACAAGGUCUCCCCUGAGCUCCUCUUCUGCAGACCGAACAACCCCAGUUCCCUCAGCUGCUCCCCAUCAGAUUUGUGCUCCAGACCCCUCACAGCUCUGCUGCCUUUCUUGGACACACUCCAGGGCCUCCGUGUCUUUCUGGUAGUGAAGGGAGUAGGUCAGGGGGGUGAAAAUGGAAAUGGCAGGGACCUGGCUGCCAGGUGUGGAACCAGCACACACUUUUCCUGAGGUCUGAGGAGCAGUGUUUCUGCUCCAGCACUGGGAGACACGGGAGGAGAUGGACACAGAGACUCAGGCUCAGCUCUCCCUUUCUCUCCCCGCAGUCGCAGCUGGGGGGGAGCUCCAGCGCACCGCAGAGCUCCUCGGGAAGCCGGCUUCCACACCCGCUGG